GUCACGCUUAGAAAAUACCCUGGAGUCGGCGUACACAGCGCAUCUUCGUGUUCUUCACUCUCUUCGGAUCGGAGGACUCGACGAUUCCGAUUCUGUAACGGUAUGAGGUGUGAUUUAUUCGUCUUAAAUCGUAAGCGCAGUACGAAACCUUCGAUUGCCAUUCCCGUAGGGGAAUAAAUAUGAUACAAUCCCUCCGUGAAAUUAUCAGUUCUCAUCGUUCUCAUAUGUUUGACGAUGUUGUUGUUAUUACGAUUAGGGAUGUUCAUUGUUGAUCGAAGCUUAAAGAAGUUUGUUCAUUUUUAAUCUCAACACUUUCCUCUGUUAUGUUCAGUGUGGUGGUGGCGGAAUGGUCGGUGUUGGUGGAACUACUUCCUCCUCCGCCGCCGGGUACGCUUCUCCAAACGACGCCGUUGGCUACUACCUCAAGUCCCGCGGCUUCAACAGCCUCUUCUCUCAGAUCUGAGUUCCUUUUUUAUUACCUUCUUCUUCUUUUUUGAAACCAAGAUUUGAAUUCUCAAACUUCCAUUGUUUUGUUUCUUCGCUUGCUCGCAGUUAUCGUUCUCUGUUUCCAAUUUACGAGACCGCGACUUGAUGUCAAAGAGCGAUGAAAUGGUUGUUGUGUAUACUAAAAAAGAAAGAGAUGGAACACUUUCUGAACUCUUCCGCAGUGAAGUUGUUUUGAAUUCUCUGAAUCAUAAAUGGAUAAAGCUCACACUCUCUUAUCAGUUCGAGAUUUUCCAGACAUUGCUGUUUCGUGUGUAUGAUAUUGACACUCAGUUUUAAAACUUAAGGGAUGAGAUACUUAAGCUCGAUGAGCAGCAGUUCCUCGGCGAGGCAACAUGUACAUUGUCUGAGGUGCAACUACAAAAUGCUUCUUAACCUUCUCAUUGAAGUGACUUUACAUGUUAUAUACAGGCUCAUCGAUCUCUUAUAAUUUGCUUGGACCCUCACAAACAGAGGUUCAAGUCUUUAUGUAUAUUCCUAGAAUUGUUAGAUCUCAACUGCAUUAUCAGCUGCGAGGGAAUGGCAAAACGGUCAAGUAACACUCCCACAAAAACAGAGGACUGUAUCUGUGCCACCGGUAAGUUUAUAUAACGUUACCGUGAUGAGAUCUGAUGCCUCUUGGAAGGAGAACCGCAAUAUUGCAGGUUUGGGAUGGGUCAUCUACAGAGAAUAUGGACCGAUGAAGUUCUCAGUAGUGGAAGAGCAUGUCUCCACGUCUUUGAUGGCAGAGAGUAUAGCAAUGAGAGGAGCACUCGCCAACUGCAAGGAAUUCGCCGUGUCAGAUGUGAAGCAGACCCUAAACAGCUUAUUGCAUGCAUCAUGAAGGAAUAACCAGUUCCAGAGGUUUAUGGAAUUGCAUCAGAUAUUGUAGUUUAAGCUUCAGAUUUGAGGCCAUCUCUUUUGGAUGGAUCUCCCGUUUGGAAAAUUUUGUUGCAGACUGUUUUGCUUGACAAGGCAUUGUAGUAAAUGAAGAUGUUAAUUCUCUCA